GGCGGAGCGGGGGAUGGGGGGGCGUGGAAGACAGGGCUGCGUGCUCCGGCGCGGGCGGCGCGCGUUCGGGGUGUCGGCUCCCGGCAGCUCUUGGCUUGUCGGUCGUUGGGACCACGCUGCCCGCUCCCCCCGCCACCUCUCACGGUCGUAAUGAAGUCUAAGGCCCGUGGCUUCCCCACAUCAUCCCCUGGGAGGUGGACUCAGGCUGUCCCAGGAGAAAUUGCGGAUGGAGGAAGAGGAUUUCCGAGAGAGAUCCCGGGUCCCAGUAACAGUCAUUGUCCUUAUCACCUGGACUAUGGUCUUGAAAUACCAUGUCCCACUAAAAGAAACAAGGGCUUCUUGGAUGGAUGAUUCUAGAUCUGGGACAGGAAAUGCAUAGAAUGAACAUGAUGUAUCUUGUCAUACUAGAGAGCAGAGGAGCUAUUAAAGUCUUCUAGGGUCAUGUCCAGGGGACCUAGAAGCCAACUUCAAGUGGCUCCCUUUGGCCAAAGAUGAGAACACCUAUUGAAAUGAAACAAAGGAAUACAUUUAUAAACCUACAAGGUGGAUGUAGUUUUGCAAGAUAGAAGGUCACUGACUUAAGGAGGAGAGGCUUGGAACUGGAGGUGUAAGGUACUCUGCAUAGUGGAAAUGAAGCACAGUGCUGACAGGAAGAUUAAAUAAAAGUCUUUAUCAGUGACUCCUCAUUCCCAAUUUUCCCCUCAGCCCAGUUUUUUGAAAUUCCCAUCAGCUAAACCUAUGUCUCCCAAGAUAUUGGAGUAUUCUUUUGAGAAAUUAGAUGGUCCCAGAGAAAGCCUCUAUGUUGCCAUUCACGGGUCCAAGAACAAAAAGUUUGGUUUGCCAACUUCUUAUCACUUUACCCCGAAACCUACCGGUAGAUAGAAAUAAGAGUAGAAGUUUAGGGAAAGAGCUUUCCGAAACAAAAGUAAAAUCUAUUAAUAUGUUAGAGUUGUGGAGAAUAAAAUUGAUGAACAUUUGACAAUUAAAAAAAUCCAGUUGGAUAGGUAUAAAACCAAACAUUUUAAAAAAGAAAGGCCAUCUUUAAUACCAGGAAAAGCAAGCCUUUCCUUGCUACCCAGAACGAGGUCCAUGUGGUGUUGUUCUGAGUUCCUGUCCUAGCUUAAAAACUUUUACAAUGUUUGGAGCCCUUGCUGUCCUACAAAAGAAGGAGAUGUCCUCAAAUUCCUUGUGGCAGUACAACUUGGGUGGCACCAACCUUGACUUCCAAGUGGAACAGUACAUCUACAGAAGGAAAAGUGAUAGCUACAUCAUAAAUCUGAAGAGAACAAGACUGAAGCUUCUGCUGGCAGCUCCGGCCAUGGUUUCCAUUGACAACCCGGCUGAUGUCAUGUCCAUCCUCUAGGAAUCCUGGCCAGCGAGCUGGGUUGAAGUGUGCUGCUAUCACGGGAGCCACUCCUGUCGCUGGCCGCUUCACUCCUGGGACCCUCACCAGCUAGAUCUGGGUCACUUUCUGGGAGUCACUCCUUCUGGCGGAUACUGAUCCCAGGGCUGACCACCAGCCUUUCAGAGAAACGUCUUCCGAUAACCUGUCUACAUUGCUCCAUGAAACAGACUCGUCUCUGCGCUGUGUGGACAUUGUCAUCCCUUGCACCAACAAGGAGCUCCCUCAGCGGGUCUGAUGUGGUUGCUGGCUCUGGAAGUUCCGUGCAUACACGGAACAUAUCCUGUGAACUCUCAUGGGAGAUCAUGCCUCAUCUCUACUUCUACAGAGAUCCUGAAGAGAUUGAGAAGAGCUUGAAAAUCACACUGCGGCCAGGGAGGAAUUCCAGCAUAAGUGGACUGCUGCAGGUCCCAAGUUUACUGCCACUCCACUGGAGGUCAGAGGCCGGUCUGCAGGUGAGCAGGGGCCCUCUGUGCCUACCCAACUGUUCCCUCUGGAACCCUUGAGCACUCAGCCUGCCGGGCAAGACUGGUCUGCGGCUCCCACUGUCCACACUACCAAAGGGGUAGGAAUGGCCACUGAGUAGUCUAAGGCUGUUCUACAGACUUUUAAGCAGGAAAUGGAAAUAAGGGUGAUGGAAAUGAACAGUUAAAAAAAAUACCAGGAAAAAAAAGGCUCCCCCCCCCCGCAAACCAAAGCUUCAAGAAAGGAAAGGAAACAUAGUCAUAAUUGCAACUUGGCUCAUCACUGAAUAAUAUUUACAAGAGUCAUAGUAAUAUCAAUACUAUUGUUUUAGCCAAAAUUGUGACGUAUUGCUUUGAGAGGAUGGGAAAUAGAGGAGGUAGGGGAAGGCAUAAGAUAGCUGAAUGCUGAUCUCCUAUAUGAAGGAGUCAACAGACACCUAAGUGACAUGACCUCUAAAGCUGAGAUAAAAAGAAAUUGAAGUAAACAUAUUAUUUAGAAAUACGGAAGCAAAUAUCAGAUGACACAGCUGAAAGAAUUGAAAGUGCUCAGGGUCACCUUCAUGGAAAUUAAAUGAAGGCUCCCCUUUUUCAAGACACAUAAACCUGUUAGGAAGUUAAUGUAAUAUUCUGAUUUUGUAAAAGCAAAAACAAAAAACACUGCUACCAGCAAGAAAAGAAACAAUAUCUGUGUUGUGAAUACACCUGCUAGGUGAUGCAGUGCACACCCUACACUCCAUUGAGCUUGCUUCCAGGGAGCAGGAUGGGGUGCCCAGAGUGGGGAAAGGUGGGGCAGAGUGUUGCCAUUUUUCUUCUACUGUUUGAUUUAAAAUAACAAAAAAACAAAAAACUAUUACUCUGAUGGCAAGGAAGGAAAGAAGGAAGGAUGGAAGAGAAAAGCAAAAAGAAAGAGGGUGGGGGACUGACUUCAUGGCUGAAUAGAGGAGGUUCAGAUAAUGUCCCCAGGAUCUGGCUCUGUGUCAGCAAUGCAAGCUCUGCUGUUAGAAUAAAAAAAAAAAAAAAAAAAAAAAAAGGCUCCAGCCUUCACAUGCCAUAUUUCUAGUCUUGAGCAGGUGCACACUUUCUAUGGGUGAAAAGUUGUGUGCUAAUAAAAGAUGUGUGCGCAUCAGUUAAGGGCCAGGAGAGUCAGUGAAAGAAGACAACAAUAGUGGGAAAGAACUUUUAUAGAAUCAAAUAGGAGUAGAAGGUUAAAAAGAAAAUGUUUAAAAUAUAGCAGAAAAGUCAAGGAAAACAGAGAUGGAGAAAAGAGCAGAGAAUUGAAGAGGACAUCGCUGACUUUGAAAGAACCGUACCAUGGAACAGUGGAAGCCGAAGCAAUCUAUUGCAAUAAUUUACAAAGUCUGGUUCCUGGACCAGAAAUAGCAGCAUUACCUGGGAACAUGCUAGAAAUGCAAAUUCUUGGGUCACACAUUAGACCUUCGGCGUCAGAGACUCUGGACCUGAGGGUCUACCAAUCUGUAUUUUAAUAAGACUUCCAAAUGAUUCUGAAGGAUGCUAAAGUUUGUUGGCAGUGUAUAAUCGCUAGGUGAUUGAUACUGGAAAAGACUAUCUCCUUUCCCCGUACAGAACAUGUAUUUGGAAAGCUCAGCAAAAUCUGCAAUAGCUGGAGGCAUAGAGUUGUGUACAUUGAGUGUUCCGGGGGCCAUUUUAUUUCUUCUGUAGUUGGUAUGAAAUGUUUUGGAUUUCAGAAUCAGACUAGAAAAUUUUACUUUAAACACAUUUGAUAUUUUUAGUUGAUGUAAGUAAUAAGAUUGCAGAAAGCUGGCUUUAUCUUUAUCUGAUCCUUCCUCUGGCCUCUGAAGUUUGGGAGGAGAGCUGGUGUUUGGGUGUGUGUGUGGCAAGAACACUUGACAUGAGAUCUAUUCUCUUACCAGAAUUUUUUAAAAUAAUUUUAUUUAUUUAUUUGACACAGAGAGACGGUGAGAGAGGGAACACAAGCAGGGAGAGCGGGAG